rnacentral:rRNA from 1 species
UACGUAGGGGGCAAGCGUUAUCCGGAUUUACUGGGUGUAAAGGGAGCGUAGACGGCCAGACAAGUCUGAAGUGAAAAUCCAGCGCUUAACGUUGGAAGUGCUUUGGAAACUGCCGGGCUAGAGUACAGGAGGGGCAGGCGGAAUUCCUGGUGUAGCGGUGAAAUGCGUAGAUAUCAGGAGGAACACCGGCGGCGAAGGCGGCCUGCUGGACUGCAACUGACGUUGAGGCCCGAAAGCGUGGGUAUCGAACAGG